AUAUUCUGAAAAUUACCUUCAGCAUGGCCGUUGCUGUGGGUAAGAUAAUUGUGCCAACAGAGACGUGGUACAUUUAGCUUAUUGCCAGAUGAUAUAGCUGUGCAAUGAAACCCAUGUGCCUACAGGC
ensembl:snoRNA